AAUAAUCAUUUCUUUCUUAAGCAAAUGAUGAAAUACAUAAUUUUGUUUUGAUUAGGCUUGUGCUUUGACUCAAAUUUUAUUGCAGGUAGCAAGACCGCCUCUUCAGCCAAUCCUGCAGGUCCGAACUAUCCAGAAGUCACAUGUAAACCUCCAGUGCUCGAGCAUGGAAAAGUGAUAUCAGAAAGUAGAGAAUUAUUUUCCUACAGAGACGCGGUGAUACUUGAAUGCCUCCAGGGCUUUUCCCUUAAUGGCAGCCACGCAGUCUUCUGUGGUGGCAACAGUACUUGGGAGCCUGAGAUGCCAAAGUGCAUUAAAGGUUAUGAUUCUACUGAUACAAUCAAGGAGCCAGUUUCAAACCAUCCAG